UGCGGGAUCGUCUAACGGUAGGACAUCUGGCUUUGACCCAGAAGAUUCUAGGUUCGAAUCCUAGUCCCGCAG
rnacentral:tRNA from 1 species